CUUUCAUUCACCUUUUCCAGACUUCGCAAUGAGUUGAAUUGUGUUCACAAAGGAUUUUUCCUUCCUUUUGUUAUCCUUUAUGGGGUGAACCAGGUCCCUUCUGUACCCCAGUUCAAAUACUCAUCUCCAAUGGGGAAGGUCCAAGCCUCUAUCACUGAUGCAGGCUUUCACUUAAUUAUUAUGAAUGACUGGAUGAUGGAUUCAUACAUAUAUUUUUUGAGUACUAACCAUGUGGUAUGCAUCAGGCUGGGUCCUGGGGACAGUGGAAAAUAAAGAAGACCCAGUUGGUACCUGCCAUCCUGGAACUUGGAGUCCAGUGAGGACAAUGGAUGAUCCACAAGCAGUUCACACAAAACAACAGGAAGAAGAGAAGGGUGAGUCUGCUAGGAAGUGAAGAGAACCUGGUGAAAGACUUAGAGCAAGAGCCAGCAAACUAUGCUGGAUCAAACUGCAC
rnacentral:lncRNA from 1 species